AACAUCAUUCCUCAUGGAUCUCAUCCUGUGUUAGAAAAUCUGAUGAGAAUGUUCUAAGCCUAAUUGCUAUAUGCAUUCUGUUCUUAAAAUACAUGAUCAGCCCAAAAUAAUGCCACCACUCAGUUUGCAUUGUAUUUGAGUCAAUACUUUCUUGUGUAGUUCUGCUUCAAGUAACUACCCCCGCCCCAUUUUUAAUUGCCUUUUUUUAAAUUGGCAGAAAAAUACAUGCCAUCUGCAUUACAUCACUUAUCUGAGGUUAUUCAGCUUUUAAAAAUUACACUGUUUGUUAAUUUUGAACAGAGUUGCUUCUAGAUCUGGUGCCUUGCCAUCAUCCUGGGAUCUUUUUUAUUUCUCUUGUAGGUUAGUUGUACUAUUACGGAUACUGUGGCUUCCAUAGGAUGCUGUGUUCGUUUUUCAUUUUUUGGAGUCUUUGCUGAAAGUAUAUUUUCAGGAAGGGUAUCUGAACUUUUUGAAUUCAUUGGAUGUUUGAAAUUCUCAUUUUGGUUCUCAUUUGAUAGAUUAUUGGGUAUAAAAGUCUAGGUUCAAAAUAAUUAGUGUUAUGACUGCAUUGCUUUAUUGCAUUCCCAGUAUCCAGUGUUGCUUUUAGAACUCAGAAGCCAGUCUGUUUCUCAUAACUUGGAAGGUACUGCUUUGGGAAUUUUCUUUUUACUUUUCUCCUUUCCUUCUCCCAUCCCUGUCUUCCUUCUCCUUGCAUCAUCCUUAUCUCCCCCAACCCCUUUUUGAUAUGAUAUGUUGUAUAUACAUUUUGUAUGUAAAAUAUAUAUGCAAAAUUUUAGAAAUAAUAAAAAAUAAAUAUCAGUCCACUCCCAGCUUAAAAAAAUUGGACUUUCCUAAGCCCAUUGUUUGCACCUGCCUUAUUGAAUGUUUCUACCUGCCCCCACCCAGGACUAUCACUGUUCCCAGUUUGGUGCCUUUCCUUGUGUUUGAUAGUUAGAGUAGAAGUAUAUGACUACUUUAGCACAGUUUCUGAAAUUCAUCUGUGUUGAUGUGUCUAUCUGUAGUUAAUUGAUUUUCAAUGCUGUAUGGAUUUCAUUAUAUUAAUACAAAAUCUAAUCUGUUUUCUGUUGAUGUGCAUUUGGUUAUUUCCAGAUUCUUACUAAUAUGAAUAAUGCUGCUCUGACAUUCUUGUACAUGGAUGUUAGAGUCUAUCUAAGGUAUAUAGUUAGAAUUGGAAAGCCUGGGUCUAAAGGUGCGUACAAGUUCUGCCUUAUAAAUACAGUCUAAAAUGAUGGUAUUAAUCUGUAGCAGUGUACAAGAGGUCGAUUGCUGCUCAGCCUUCCUGACACUUGGUAACUGUCUUGUCUUUUUCAUUUUAGCAGUUCUGGGAGGUAUUUAUUGGAACUCGGUGUAGUUUUAAUUUACCUUUCUUUGAUGAUUAGUAAAAGUAAGUACUUCUUCAUAUGUUUAUUGGCUAUUUUGGAUAGUCUCCUAUAAGAGGUGGCUAUUUUGUUUUUUAUUUGUAAGAGAUCUUUACAUAUCCCUUAAAUGAGUUCUUUGUUUUUAUGUAUUGCAGAUACCUUCUUCAGUCCCAUGGUUUGCUUUUCACUCUCCUAAUGGCAUAUUUAGAUGCAUGUAAAUUCUUACUUUUAAUAUAGUCCAAUUUAUCAUUUUUCACCCUUUAUGGAGAGUGAUCCAUGUGACCUGUUCAAGAAAUCUUUGCUCAUUCCGUGAUCAUAGAGAUGUUCUCCAUAUUAUCUUCUAGAAGCUCUGUUGUUUUAUUUUUUACACUUAGGCCUGCUGUCUGCCUGGACUGAUUCUUGUGUGUCGUGUGAGGUAGCGCUCACAGUACGUUCUCUCAUAAUUGCAUGUCCAGUUGGCCAGUACCGUUCAUUGAGGACGUUCUCCCCCUGCUGCUCGGCAGGGUCGCCUUUGUCACACAGCAAGUGUCCUCCAUAGUGGUUCUGUUUUGAAACUUGUCUCUCGUAUUGGUCUCUUUCUUGGUGAUUGUGUCAACUCCACAGUGUCUUCAUUACUUUAUACAUAUCAGUUGAAACGUGUGACCUUGACCUGUUUGUAGGUCAUUUGCUCUCGGCAAUGCCAUAUGCCCACUGCUGCAGUUAGCCGUGGUUCCCUGUAGCUUGGGGUUGCCUAGGUUUGUUCUCUAAGCUUGUCUUUGCUAUUCUUGGCUCUUUGUAUUGUCAUAUAAGAUUUGGAAUCGGGUUUUCGUUUCAGAAUAAAAAGAAAAAAACCUACUGGAAUUUUGUUCGGAAGUGUUCAGUCUGUAGGAUAGCUUGGAGAUAAUCUGCAUCUUUGAAAUACUGAGCCUUCCCAGUGCAUAGUAUGUAAUCAUGAUAUAUUCCUGCCAUUUUUUUAAGUCUUUAAUUUCUCUCAUUUUUUAAAGUUUGUUUUCUGUGUAGUGGUCAUGAAUAUAUCUCUCAUUAAAGUUAUUCCUAGGUAUUUUUGAAAAUAACCAUUUAAGUGAUAUUUAAAAAAAACCUGUUUUUCCAGUGUUUUUGCCAGUAUGUGGAAAUACAAGUGGGUUUUACAAACUUACCUGGAGUUUACUAUCUUGCUAACAUCAUUUACUAAUUCUGAUAGUUUAUUUUCUGUCUGUUUCUCGCAGAUAAUGACAGUGUUGUUACUAUCUUCCGUGACUCUCAUGCGCUCCUUUGCCCCCACUUGCCGAGCAGUGGUGGUCUGCAGUGGCAGUAGUGGAGGAUGUGGUUACUUCUCUUUUGUCUCAAGAGGAUGACGCUUGUGGGUGGUUUUGGUUUUUUGAGUUUUUUCUUUGUUUUUUGUUUGUCUCUUUUGGUUUUGGUGGAUACCCUUUGUCCGUGAAAGGAUGCGCCCAUCCUAAUUCACUGUCUUUUUUCCAGAGGCUGUUUGAUUCUGUUGAGAGGGGAUUUUUAGUUUCCCUCCUUAAUCUGUUGCAGUGGUGCCAUGAUAGGUUCUCCUAAUGUCUGUUUAGCCAGCCUGGUUCAAAAUGUAUCUUUUUUACAUUACUACAUUUGGUUUGCUAAUAUUUAUUUUAGGAUUUUUUCAUUUAAGUCAUGGAUCAGCAAAUUAUGGCUCACAGGUGAAAUACAGCUUACUGCCAAUUUUCUGUAUAAUCUGUGAGCUAAGAAUAAUUUCUACAUUUUAAAAUAAUGACAAAAUCAAAAGGAGAAAAAUAUUUCAUGACAGGUGAACAUAUGAAAUUCAAAUUUCAAUGUUCAUAAAUAAAGUUUUAGUGUCAUCCAGACACAUUUAUUUACAUACAGGCAAAGCUUUCACACUGUAAUGUCAAUGCUGAGACAGGGUGUAUGCACAUACAGUGUUCCAAGCUCUGUCUUAAUCGUUUUGUAUAUGAACAGAUCCAGAAGCAAACAGUACUGUUAUCCCCAACCUGCCUGUGGGGAGCCUGAAGCAAAGAGGUUGUUUAAGAAACUUGCCCAAGAUUACAUGAUGCUCAGCGGCAGGUUUGAGCCUUUGGCAGUCUGGUGUGAAUCUGGGCCUGUAACCACUACAUUAUACUUUCAUUAGCCUCAUCAAGCUUUCUUCCCCCUCUUUAAAGGUACUUUCAUGUUAAAGGUAAGGCAUUUAUCCCCACUAAGGUCGUUCUACGAAAUGCCUGCUAAGUACUCCUGUAGCAUUGAUGCUUUCCUCCUUCCUGCUCAGAAGAGCUAAGCGCCUGUGCCUCAGACCAGCAGUGGAAGAGCCAGGGGGCCCGUCCAGCCUGCAGACGGCAGCUCAGCUGUGGAAGGCUGGGGUCAUGACAGGGAACAGAGCGCACCCCGAAGGAUGGGUGUGCACCUGGCGAGAGCCUGCGGGGUGUCACUUUGUUACACUAGGAGCCGUCCUUUCCAUCUAGGAACUCAGGAGUCCAAGGGGGCCUGGGAAGAGGCACGCAUUAUAAAUAAAUAAUUAAUGGACUCACCAGCACAAA